UGCCCGGAGGAGAAAUUGGGGGAGCCGGGGACUGCCCCCGGGGCCUAAACGCUGGCUGUGCCGGCGGGCUCGGCCCCGUUCAGGCGUGUUUUGGCCGGCGCCCACCCCUCCGGCCGGCGAGCGGGGACAUUUGGGGACAAUUCGGCCGCCGCCGGCACCGCUCGGCAACCGCCGUCCCGUCGGGGCACAGCCCGCCCCGUCGGGCUGCCCGGUCCCGGCCGGCCGGGGAGAGGUUGCCCGGAGCCAACUCGCCCCCGGCAGCCAAAGGUCGCCCCGUGGCCGUUCUCCCCCGCUGGCCUCCCCCCUGGACCUCCCCCCCCGGGCCGCCGCCGCUCGCCGCGGGCUGCUCAGCCCCGACGGGGGGGUCCGGGCCGGGGCAGGGAGCGGCGGGGGGCGGCUCUGUCCCCCGGGAGAGCCUCGCAACUUCCCCGCGGGGACCGGCCCAACUUCAGCUCCCCCUCCCCACCUCCCUUCCAUCCUCCCCCCCCCCCACCCGCCGCCCCCCCCCCGGGCCCCCCCCCCCCCCCCCCUCACCCCCCUCGCCCUCCAGCCCCCCGGGGGACACCCGAUGGCGGCGGCGACGCCCGGCCGCGACACUCACGCUUGCAGCCGGGGCGAGGGCAGCGGCGGCCGUCCCUGGACGAAACGGGCGGCGUUGGGGAUGGAUUUGGGGUGCGGGGGGGGGUGAGGACGAAGAACGACGGACCCCCCCCAGCCCCUCCCCGAGCGGGCAGGCGGGCGGAGGGGCGGGCAGGGCUGCCCCGGGGCGAGCAGCGACCCCCGCGGCCGCCGUCCCCUGGGGGUGGCCGGGCACGGAGCGUUUUGGGCGGCUGCUGCCGGGCUCCCCCCGCCGUCCUCCCGGCGGCUGCCGGUGCCGGUUGUGGCUGCUGGCCGGGAGCUGCCGCCGGCGGCAGGCUCUGCCCGCACUGACGUCAGCCCGGCAGCCUCCGAUUCACUCCAACCAUGGCGGAGAGGAGGAGGAGGAGGAGGAGGAGGAGGAGGAGGAGGAGGGAGGAGGAGGAGGGAAGGGGGGAGGGGAGGAGGCGGGGGAAAGGAGGGGGAGAGGAGGAGGACGGGAGGAAGGCGGCGGCGGCGGGGGUUGCUUGCUGCCGGGCUCUGCCCAGCACAGCCCGCAGCCCCUCCAGCUCACCCCCUAAUUACCCCCCGAGGAUGGGGCCGCGAGGGGCAGAGGGGCCGCUCCCCCCAUCCACCCCCCUAUGUCCCCCCCAACACCCCCCGGCGAGCCGCCCGCCCCCUCGGGGCCACCUCGUCCCGCUGCGGGGCUGCCGCCUCCCCCCUGCCCUGCCCGGCCGGGGGCCUCCCCUCUGCCCCCCCCAGCGGGGCACGGAGCUCCCCCAGGACCCCCUCGGGGUGUCGCCCCCCCGGUGCCCUUAGGAGGCCGGCAGAAAGGGGCCGCGGCCGCCCCGCUGCCUGCGCUGCCCCCGGGCUGUUUU
rnacentral:lncRNA from 1 species